rnacentral:lncRNA from 1 species
AUGAGUAACAUUCCUACCUAGAAAUGAAUUUGGAAGACCUUUUUUAUGGUUACGCAUUAAAACACAAUAUCGGAGAGCUAAUAUUUCAGUGGUGAGUGGAUGCAAGAGGACUGUACCUUCUUCGCUCCAACAGCUAUACUACUGCACAUGAUUUAAUGUUUGUCCUGAUGUUUUACAUGUCUGCAUAAUCAUUGAUGAUAAAAUAGAACUUUUUUUUUUAUUUUAAAGUGCAGAUAAAUAAUCAUAUAAAAUCUAAUUGUCAAUUAUGUAUUAUGGUGU